GACGAACCGUGCGAACGUUGUUCGGAAUCACUGGGCUUAAAGGGCGCGUAGGCGGGCCUUCAAGUCCGGGGUGAAAUCCUCCCGCUUAACGGGAGAAGAGCCUCGGAGACUGAGGGCCUCGAGGGAGGUAGGGGCGUGCGGAACUAUGGGUGGAGCGGUGAAAUGCAUUGACAUCCAUAGGAACUCCGGUGGCGAAGGCGGCACGCUGAACCUUUUCUGACGCUGAGGCGCGAAAGCCAGGGGAGCAAACGGG
rnacentral:rRNA from 1 species